AUAAUUGGAUUAGAAUUAGUACAGUUACUGAUCCAAUAUCUCCCAGGAAGUGCUGAGGGAUUGUGUGUCAUGUGUGGGAGUGCCUUACAUUGUAAAUGUGUUAUUAUUGGUUUGUAAGUUUGUUGCCCUCGUCAUUCAGCAAGACCUAUCUUUUCUUGCCAACCGGGAGUGGGAACUAGAACAGGAUUAUGUUUGCCUAUUCCAACGGGUAACGCUGCCUGUCUCUGACAUGAUGGGGCUUACGGACUGUAUAACACCGAGACCGUUGAGUUUCGUCCCUCCUCCCCAGCAACUAAGCCUGUCAUCUGGAGACCUGGGCACUGUACCACCUACUUUCUAACCAGCCCCAGAGAUACUGGUCCUGGGGCUGGUUGGGAAGUAGGUGGUACAGUGGACAGGUGGAGAUGAGACUGAGGUCUCUCCAACUGCCCUACAGGGAUGAGGGCAGCUGGCCCAGAUCUCCAACCCCAGAUUGAGAUGUUAAGAGUGGGGACGGUCGGUCUCACUCCCCAGUGGCAGUGAGGUACAGGGAACAGAGACCCCGGUCUUGUUCCCCAACUGCAGUGUGUGUCCUAAGGAGAGAAAGAUUUCAUCCUUCCACUCCAGCGGCAGAGUGUGUUAUUGGGAGAGGAGAGUAUCGUCCUCCAUCUCCAGCGACAGAGUGAAUUACAGGGAGUGGAGAUGGUCGGUCUCAGUCCCCAGUGGCAGUGUGCAACUCAGGGAGAGGAGAGUAUCGUCCUCCAGCAUCCACGGGUGUUACAGGGAGUGGAGGCAACCGGUCCCACUCCCCAGCGGCUGUGUGUAUUCCAGAGAGAGAAUGGUGUCGCUCUUCCUCCUCGGUGGCAAAGGGUAUUAUUGGGAGAGGAGACGAUCGGUCUCUCUCCCCAGCGGCAGUGUGUUACAGGGAGUGGAGAUGGUCGGUCCCUCUCCCCAGCAGCUGGUCCUGUCGCCCAGAGACAGGCCCCCUAGCUUAGAUGGUGCAGAUGGGACAGAGGUCUCUGCACCAGCCCUAUAGGGAUGUUGGGCAGCCUACCCAGAUCCACAGCUGACCAUUCACAGUCAUGGCCCAGGUGCAGGAGACGGAACUACGG